AACGCACGAGACCUGCGGACCUGCGGAGGGAUCAUUAACACGUAUCCAAAAAUACACCUUAUUCACCCCCUUUUAGUGUCAAUUUGUACUGUCAAACAUCAAAGCCUCAACGCACUGCGCUUCUUUCUUAUGAAUGAAAGUUGUUUGGUUUGGCUCACGCAGUCCGCGGUUUUGAGGGAACAAAUUGUUUUUUUGCUUUUUGUUCUCUUUUUAGUGAUAAUCUCAGAGCAAAAUGAAACA
rnacentral:misc_RNA from 1 species